GUCGAGGUAGAAGAUGGCCGAUAUUCAGCUUCCCAAGCUGAGAGUGCGGGUUCGAUUCCCGUCACCGGCUCCA
rnacentral:tRNA from 1 species